AAGACGGCAGUAUAAAACACCAGCUACCAUUUAAACCAAAACAGGAGAAGAAGACUGAGAUGCUUCAGACUGCGCAUGCGUUUAGUUUUGAAUUUCUGACCGGACCACGCCUGACCCUCCUUCGGUUAAUUUCGGUAAUUCUGUCGGAAAAAAAGUUGCAGUUGGUGUUUGGUAUCUAAUAUGGAAAAGAUCCUGAAAAAUUGCUUUGUUGAUGAGUUGUGCUCCUGUCUGGAUAAGACCUACUCAAAAAAAGGUCCUGGCUGGGAUAGCUUUUGUCAGCUCCCUACGUAUUGAUGUGUUAUAGCUGGACUGCGGAGCUUUCAUGUGAUGGAGGCAGAAUUUCUUACUACUACUACUCCCCUUCUCUAAAAGUUCCUUACACAACUUGACCAACGCACUGAGCAGCUCAUGAAAGUGUUGAACAAAGGAGGCUCUGCAGGGAGGAAAAUCAGGAUGAUUAUGGCCCCAAUGACACAGGAAGCCGAGGGAGCUUGAGAAGUCACCUUUGGUAUCUACAGCAUCGAUGUUAAGGGAGGUGAUACCGCCACUCCUCCAGCCGAUGUUGGAAUUGUGAUUCAGGGUGUUGAAGUUCUGCACGACUUGAGAGACUUUGCCUCUGCAUGUGCCCUGAGUUAUCCUAACAGACUGAAAGCCUUCUUUGAAGUACUUCAAAAGUUCUUCCUUCAAAUGGAUGCUUGCAGACUCUCAACCAAGGUACAGCUGCUCAUUAACUAACUGUACAAAUGAGACAAUCACUGAUUUGGAUGCUGAAUGUUUCAUCGAACAGGAGAAAUAUUUUGGGCUGAAACUGAAAAAAAUUAUCUGUUUGAAAAUAGAGCAGAGAAACUACACUUGAGGAAAACAACCAAUUUCUUUGCAAACUUUUGAAAAACUUACCAUACAUGAAAAGUGGUAGUUGAGUGGCACUACUAGAGAAGUGAUGUAGAAUUGAGAGACCAUGCUGCGCAAAAACGGUUGAUAUAUAACUAUGGCUAUUUUGUGGAUGUUUUAACACUAAGCUGCAUCAAAAACAACUGCAAGGAAGUUCAAUCAUCAGACCAUCUUAACCAUCGUUAAAGAAAUCCUACUUUAGAGUAGAUGUUUGUUAAAGUGUUGCCACUGAAAACUUUAUUUUAGAUGUUAAGGCUGUUAGAUGGAGAGACUAUUAUUUUGUAAACAAAUUUGAAAACUGUAAAAAGUAUUAUUUAUUAAACCAUAAAAAGUGAGUUAUUUAUUAAAGUGUGAAUUAUUUAUAUAUUUGCUGUCAAUCGAUCGACUAAUAUUUGCAGCUGUAAUUCCAUGUGUUACAAAUGUGUACAUGCAUUGAAAUGUUAGUUUAUAGAAUGGCACCAAAAUGUUACUGAAUCACUGCUGUGUUGAUGAAUAAAGGAAAUAAGAAAACUA